CCUGCCUGCUUGCCCGUCACUCCUUGUAGUACUGGGUCUCUUCAGUAAAUAAUUGUGCUACCUUACCUUAGCUAAUGUUGCCUUUCCAGGUGAUAAAGCUAAAUGUUCAGCAAAGUGCCUCAGAUUGAUUCCAGGACAAGUCCAGCUGUUUUCUUGAGUAACAAGUCCAGCGGUUUUCUUGAGUCCAUAUUUGUGCAGUAAAGUGCCUUCAUAUCUGUGUCCUGGCGCUGUCAGCUGAGGGAAUUUCCCUAAUAAACAUUUUUUAGCUUGUCAUUUGUUUACCGAGGUCCUUCAGAGAAUCACAGGGGGGACAUGCAGUGUCCUGAGUCUGCUGGAGCGCCAGGGAACAGAUGGGACUGCCGACUGCUGACACUAAUCUCGGAGCUAAUCGGGGUAACGAACCUGCGGCCAUUGACAGCUCCUGUCCGGCCUCUGCCUUCAGCAGCUGGGAGGUCAGCUACUGUUCCCCCAUCAUCCUUCCACCGCAAGUCAAAGGGACGGCGGCAUGGAGCCACUCGGCAGGACGGCUGGAGUGGAAGAGACAGGAAAUAGGAGAAAGAGGCACACCAGCAGGGGGCGAUCUUUAGCUGUCCCCCUCUGGAAUCCUGCAUGGCCAGACCCCAAUACAGGAGCCUCACUUGACUGAAGUCCAUGAGGAGCCACUUGAACAGCUGCAGCUUCGCUUCGAACCCGGAGCCCUUCCCUGCCAGGCUGCAAGCUGUCCCAUGCUGACCGUUUCCCUUUCAGAGGCACAUUCCUUCAUCUUUGAGGUGGUUGAAGGGAGCGGGACCAGGCUGACCAGCACACCACAGUAAAUGGGGGGAGAAACCGGGGGGAGAAACCUGGGGGAGGGGCUGCCCCAGAUUUUUUUGGGCUAUAA